AUAAUUAUUUGGAAACAAAUAAAUUUCUUGUACCUGAGUUACGAAACACUCCAACACUGCAUUUCUCAAAGGUAAUCACCACAAAACUAAGAAAAUACAGAGGGUACUUGGUCAUAUUGCCAAGCAUAUAAAUGUUUGUCAAAAUCAGGAAUAAAGAGCAUAAACAGAAAAUAAAUAAAUAAACAAGUGAGAAAUUUCUUCUACCCAUCUUUGCAAAUACUACUAAAAUGCAUAUUUUUUCAAAGAAAGCACAACAACACCAACAAAGAUAAUGGGAUGACCAAUAAAAUUGCAGUUAAGCAGAAAUUUUCUCAAAACCAGAACUGUAGACAAAGACAAAGCAGAAACUAACAUAAAAAAUGGGAAAUUUCAAGCACCCACCACAGAAAAUCG
rnacentral:lncRNA from 1 species